CCGGGUUCGGGCGGCCCGCCCCCUGCCCGCUGACGCACUGCGCAUGCCCGACCGCCAGGCGGUGCCCACAGCGCCUCCUGCAGGACUAGCUGAGCCACAGCCUUCUCUGUACCGCGACCUGCUGGGCUUCCCCCUACUACCGGCAUCAUUCUGUGCCUUUCGAGGUCCCAGAAGGCUGUUGGGCCACAUCCACCCAGACACCGGCAAAAGCCACUUGAAAAGGGAUGUGUUCCAACCAGCAUCAGUCAACAGGACGCCAGCAGUAACUUCCUAUCCCGUGGCGGCUGAUUCUCCAAGUGACAGCUCUGUGCCUCUCCUGCACCUGCUGACAAGCCAACUGAUGUCCUUGGCCCAUAGGUAAUCACCAGACUCUUUGCUUAGCACACAGACCUCCGGUGAUCCAGGCAGCAGCUUCCUUUUCGGCCCCAUCUCACUCCUGCACUACAUUCUGUGCUGUUCCCAUGACAUUGCCUGCUUUUUUGGCCUCCCGGCCUUGUAUCCACUGUUGUCCUCUUUCCUGGCUGGCAAACUCCUACCCAUUUUCAAGACUCAACCCAAACCCACAUCUGCUACCUAAGAUAAUCCACACUCCAGGAGUGAUGACCCAAAGCGCCCACCUUCCCACUCACCUGGAAGAAAUUCUGAGGCACAACCACCCCUGAUCACAGAAAAGGAGAAAGAACAGAAAGAUACUCCUGAAGCCAAGGUAACCCCCGCCUCCAAGAUUCUGCAAACAGCAGUGGGAAACUCCCAAACUCAUCCAUGACCCAGGAACCCUCCCUGUCUUGGAUGUCUCCUCUACAAACAACAGAACCUCUGCCUUAGAGAACUAUCUCCUUUUCUUCCUCAAAUACCCUCUCCUCUCUUAUCUGGGUCAGCUUCCCUGGCCUUGCUCUCUAAAAAGCCUAAAAUCCAGGGCGCCUGGGUGGCUCAGUCAGUUAAGUGUCUGACUUCAGCUCAGGUCAUGAUCUAGUGGUUUGUGAGUCCGAGCCCUGCAUGGAGGA